AUUGAACGCUGGCGGCAGGCCUAACACAUGCAAGUCGAGCGGAGCGGCUGACGGGUGAGUAAUGCCUAGGAAUCUGCCUGGUAGUGGGGGAUAACGUCCGGAAACGGGCGCUAAUACCGCAUACUAUCAGAUGAGCCUAGGUCGGAUUAGCUAGUUGGUGGGGUAAAGGCCUACCAAGGCGACGAUCCGUAACUGGUCUGAGAGGAUGAUCAGUCAAACUGGAACUGAGACACGGUCCAGCUCCCUCCGGGAGGAACCAGUGGGGAAUAUUGGACAAUGGGGGAAAGCCUGACCCAGCAAUGCCGCGUGUGUGAGGAAGUUCUUCGGAUUGUAAAGCACUUUAAGUUGGGAGGCGUUACCAACAGAAAAAGCACCGGCUAACUUCGUGCCAGCCGCCGCGGUAAUUC
rnacentral:rRNA from 1 species